rnacentral:rRNA from 1 species
AGCUCCAAUCUCUUCUCUUCCCUUUUUUUCUUUUCCCCCUCUCUUCUUUCGCUUUCUUCCCUUUCCUCUUUUUCCUCCCUCUUUUUUGUGUACUGAUCGGUCUGUUCUUCUUCGCGAAGACCGCGUGUGCCCUUAACUGGGUGGGCGUGGGAUUCACGACGUUUACUUUGAAAAAAUUAGAGUGUUCAAAGCAGGCAUUAGCUUGAAUAUCUCAGCAUGGAAUAAUAGAAUAGGACUUUGGUCUUAUUUUGUUGGUUUCCGAGACCGAAGUAAUGAUUAAUAGGGACAGUUGGGGGCAUUCGUAUUUCAUUGUCAGAGGUGAAAUUCUUGGAUUUAUGAAAGACGAACUUCUGCGAAAGCAUUUGCCAAGGAUGUUUUCA